AUUGAACGCUGGCGGCAGGCUUACCACAUGCAGGUCGAGCGAGCGGCGGACGGGUGAGUAAUGUCUGGGAAACCGCCUGAAGGAGGGGGAUAACUACUGGAAACGGUAGCUAACACCGCAUACCAUCUGAUGUGACCAGGUGGGAUUCUCUAGUUGGUGGGGUAAUGGCUCACCUAGGCGACGAUCCCUAGCUGGUCUGAGAGGAUGACCAGCCACACUGGAACUGAGACACGGUCCAGACUCCUACGGGAGGCAGCAGUGGGGAAUAUUGCACAAUGGGCGCAAGCCUGAUGCAGCCAUGCCGCGUGUGUGAAGAAGGCCUUCGGGUUGUAAAGCACUUUCAGCGAGGAGGCGUUACUCGCAGAAGAAGCACCGGCUAACUCCGUGCCAGCAGCCGCGGUAAUUC
rnacentral:rRNA from 1 species